rnacentral:rRNA from 1 species
ACUCAAAUGAAUUGACGGGGACCCGCACAAGCAGUGGAGCAUGUGGUUUAAUUCGAUGCAACGCGAAGAACCUUACCCAGGCUUGACAUGCAGAGGACAGUAGCAGAAACGUUACCUCCCUUCGGGGCCUCUGCACAGGUGCUGCAUGGCUGUCGUCAGCUCGUGCCGUGAGGUGUUUGGUUAAGUCCAGCAACGAGCGCAACCCUUAUCAUUAGUUGCCAACACGUAAUGGUGGGAACUCUAGUGAGACUGCCCGGGUUAACCGGGAGGAAGGUGAGGAUGACGUCAAGUCCGCAUGGCCCUUAUGUCUGGGGCUACACACGUGCUACAAUGGUCGGUACAGAAGGCAGCGAAACCGCGAGGUGAAGCAAAUCCCUAAAACCGGCCCCAGUUCAGAUUGUAGUCUGCAACUCGGCUACAUGAAGACGGAAUUGCUAGUAAUGGCGAGUCAGCAACAUCGCCGUGAAUACGUUCCCGGGUCUUGUACACACCGCCCGU